AAAGUGUCAAGUCAACAUGACAGUCUGCACAAGCACUUCAAUUUAACCACUCAAAUGACAGCCCAGUCUUCAAAGACAGUGCUGUCCCUGAACUCUGAGGCGGUGUUCUCACUCAAAGAUGGCAUCAACUUUAAGAAAAUGGAGAGCUGAAGGCCUGCAAGAACCAAUGCAAACACCAAGGAGGCCUGUUCAUCAAAGACAUAGAGGACUUAGAUGGAAGGACGGUCCGAUGUACAAAACACUACUGGAAGCUGAACGUCUCAACUAUGCAGUAUGUGAACCCUCCCAACAGCUUCACACAGGAUGAG